rnacentral:lncRNA from 1 species
UAGAGAAGAUGUAGUUACGGGCAGGAACCACCUGAUUAGGGAUGAAGAAUUCUGAGUGGUUUAAUUUUAAUACUGUCAGAAAGGUUAAUAUUUAAUUACAAAUUAUAAUCUCCUUAUCCAAGCUGUCUUAAUAUGUCUUCAUAAACAGUGGAAGUAGAAGGAAAGUAUCUGCUGACUUGCUGGUGUAGAAAGGAGAAAGGGCUUGAUAAAAGAUGGACGAUGCAAGUCUUUUUUCAGUUGGAGCAUCUAAACGAGAGGCAGAUUUCAACUUGUGAAGGGUGUCCUGAAAGCUGACGAUGGCAUCCUUCAGUGCAUGCUUCACCCAGGAGACGGAAGUGCCUACCACCC